GGAGAGGUGCCGGAGUGGUUGAACGGGCACGACUGGAAAUCGUGUAACGGGGGCAACUCCGUUCGAGGGUUCGAAUCCCUCCCUCUCCGC
rnacentral:tRNA from 1 species